rnacentral:rRNA from 1 species
UGACGCAGCAACGCGCGUGAGUGAUGAAGGCUUCGGGUCGUAAAGCUCUGUCAAGUGGGAAGAACCCGCAUUUUGUUAAUACCAGGAUGCGCUGACGGUACCACUGAAGGAAGCACCGGCUAACUCCGUGCCAGCAGCCGCGGUAAUACGGGGGGUGCAAGCGUUACUCGGAAUCAUUGGGCGUAAAGGGCGCGUAGGCGGCUUGGUCAGUCAGGUGUGAAAGCCCGGGGCUUAACCCCGGAAGUGCAUUUGAUACUACCUAGCUUGAGUAUGGGAGAGGGAAGUGGAAUUCCUGGUGUAGAGGUGAAAUUCGUAGAUAUCAGGAGGAACUGCUGUGGCGAAGGGGACUUCCUGGACCAAUACUGACGCUGAGGCGCGAAGGCGUGGGGAGCAAACAGGAUUAGAUACCCUGGUAGUCCACGCAGUAAACGUUGUUCACUAGGUGUAGCGGGUAUUGACCCCUGCUGUGCCGAACGUAACGCAUUAAGUGAACCGCCUGGG